CCUACGGGAGGCAGCAGUGGGGAAUAUUGGGCAAUGGAGGAAACUCUGACCCAGCGACGCCGCGUGCGGGAUGAAGGCCUUCGGGUUGUAAACCGCUUUCAGCAGGGAAGAAGCGAAAGUGACGGUACCUGCAGAAGAAGCACCGGCUAACUAUGUGCCAGCAGCCGCGGUAAUACAUAGGGUGCAAGCGUUGUCCGGAAUUAUUGGGCGUAAAGAGCUCGUAGGUGGUUCGUCACGUCGGAUGUGAAAAUCUGGGGCUUAACCCCAGACCUGCAUUCGAUACGGGCGAGCUUGAGUAUGGUAGGGGAGUCUGGAAUUCCUGGUGUAGCGGUGGAAUGCGCAGAUAUCAGGAGGAACNCCAAUGGCAAGGCAGGACUNGGC
rnacentral:rRNA from 1 species